rnacentral:lncRNA from 1 species
GGCAUUUAGUAGGGCACAACUUCACAGACUAAAGUAGUUCAGAUUAAGAUGUUAGACUCAAUGAGCUGGGGAUCCUAAUUAUAUCUGAAUUUCCCAUUACUCCUUAUUAACAUUACUGGUUCUGUGGCAUAUUAUCUAUUUAACAUGUAUCACUGAAGACUGUUUGGUCUGAUAGAUGCUUCUUACUAAUAUUUUCUAGAUAGGAAAUGCAAAAUCUUUUUGGUGGAAAUCAGGUUUCCUGUGUUUGGCCAGAUGACCUGCUGUAUGUGGAGGUCUACAGAUGAAACUCAGCUCUCAGUUGACACCUCUGCUACCACUGAUGUAUGUCAGAAACAGCAAGGUGAGGAGCCUGGAGAGAAGACAAGUUCCUGAUGAAGGAUCCCUCUCCAGCUUCCUUUGGGCCCAAAGAGGAUUCAAAAGACAAACACAGCAAGAGCAACCUUUCAUAAUGCUACAUCAAAUAAAAGUUGGUACUUAUUUAUUUUCUUUCUUUCCUUUUUUUAAUAAUCUGUUCAGUUCCCCUUUUUAGCA